rnacentral:rRNA from 1 species
UACGAAGGGGGCUAGCGUUGCUCGGAAUCAUUGGGCGUAAAGCGCACGUAGGCGGACUGCUAAGUCAGGGGUGAAAUCCUGGAGCUCAACUCCAGAACUGCCUUUGAUACUGGCGAUCUUGAGUCCGGGAGAGGUGAGUGGAACUGCGAGUGUAGAGGUGAAAUUCGUAGAUAUUCGCAAGAACACCAGUGGCGAAGGCGGCUCACUGGCCCGGUACUGACGCUGAGGUGCGAAAGCGUGGGGAGCAAACAGG